CUGGAUGUUUGCGGGUCUUCUUAAGGCAACCUUGGGCAAGAAAAUAAUUGAUGUGCUUCGGGACUCAAAGUGGACUGCUAACUAUAAGAGGAAAGGCUUCCCUGCAGACAAGUUAGUGCGUACGGAGCUCCAGUAAGCAUACGGCCAGCAGCAGAGGGCUCACGGCCGUCGCGUCCAUUCCAAUUGAGGGGCCUCACAGACAAAGCAGAGCUGGCCCGUGAGUCUCGGGAGCUGUCAGUCGUCAUGGGAGCUGCCAGCCUCAUCCUCGUCCCACGGAACAGCUGCGACUUCAUUUUAUCACAGGACUCUUUUGCCACCAGGAAAACAAACUGUUUCUCUCCGGAUCUCGCAAAAAAAAAUUUUUU